CUACUUCCAUCCUAAAACUGAUACACAGCCAUGUUCGGGCCCAGCUGUCCGGACAUCUUCUUAACGCAGCUGCCGAACUUGAGACCGCCCCUGGAGACAACCCACGGUAAGUAAUUCUCCGAAUAUAGUCCUGGUUGUUUUCUAACCAAAGCGCUUAACUUGCAGUCCCUAUGCUUUCGGUUACACCAGAAGGCCUUGAUGCCACUUAAAUCGCCCAAGUCCUCACCAAAGAAUAUCAAAUACUCGGCCAGCUAGUCCUCGCUCCGGCAUUCCGAAGUCAAGCUUCAAUGUUCUUCUAGGGAUGACGUGAUUUUUUAACUCCACACAAAAGAAAGCAUAAAUAUUUGUCCGAUAUAUUGUUGUUGCAAUUAAACAGAUUCCACCACCUACUAAUACACCUCAUACACCUCUGCCUUAAAUACUUGGUACAAAGUGUUAGGUCCAUGCUGGUCAUAUCAAGAACUCAUUCGAGUAGCAAAGCAUACUUUUCGUUAAUAGUGGUAAUCACCUGGGUAUAAUAAUAAUAUUAAUCAAUAAAACAUUCAAUUCAGUUUUUUAUUUAAUUUUACGUUAAAAGAGUUUCCAAGUGUUUUCCUGACUACAUCAAAUAUUUUUUGAUAAUUUAAUUUCUUUAAAUUCUUUAAAUAUACAAAUUCUGGUUUAAUGUAUUAUAGGAGUGAGUAGAAGAUUAAAACAUUAUUUUCAAUUUAAAAUAAAAUUAGAAUUUUGAUUCAAUCAUUUUUAUGUAAUUCUUUUUGUAGAGUAUUCAAUACUGGCAACUUCGUAUUUUAGUUCGAUUUCCCAUGCUGUUUUUGGUUAAUUUCCAACAUACAAGAUUGAUUUCGCGCGUAAAUUUAAACGCACUUUAUUGCCUUUUUGGAAGAACGUUGCUUGAAAACGGAAAAUCGAAGGAAAACCUGACCGUACCUAAGGGACAGCCUUGGGGGGAAAACUGGCAGUGCAUUUUCCCAGCCCCAAAGAUUUUCCCCGGCACGUCGGGGAACUUAUUAUGAAAUAAAAGAACUAAUAAUUAUUAUGCCACCCCCACAUAAAACGAAUUUUCGAGUCUAGAGUUCCCAUCUGCAAUGGCAAGACAGAGUCCUGG
rnacentral:lncRNA from 1 species